UGCCAGCCGCCGCGGUAAUACGGAGGGUGCAAGCGUUGUUCGGAAUUACUGGGCGUAAAGCGCGUGUAGGCGGCUUCUUAAGUCUGAUGUGAAAGCCCGGGGCUCAACCCCGGAAGUGCAUUGGAAACUGGGAAGCUAGAGUACCGGAGGGGAAAGCGGAAUUCCUGGUGUAGCGGUGAAAUGCGUAGAUAUCAGGAGGAACACCGGUGGCGAAGGCGGCUUUCUGGACGGAUACUGACGCUGAGACGCGAAAGCGUGGGGAGCAAACAGGAUUAGAUA
rnacentral:rRNA from 1 species